rnacentral:lncRNA from 1 species
GGUAACUUGUUACUGGAAGCAAGGCCAGGCAGCGUUCCUUGGAUCACAUUUUGGGCAGUGCCCCUCUGGGUGACUGCCCGGCCCCUCAGUGGCUCUGGGCAGGGCCAGACAAGCUGUCCUCCCUCGCAGGCCUUGCCACUCCCUACAGACUCCCUCCUGCCGGAGCUCUUUUCCGGCCUGCCUUCCCAGGACAGCUCUCCCUGGUGCUGUUCAACAAGGAAGGAAAGCCCUUCUGAUCAAGCUGAGCCCUCCAGGGUGGAACCCUUCUGCUGCCAGCAGGUGAAUUCUCUCCUGGAAGUGUUCUUCCAGUCUCUUCAGAGUGAGCCACCACACCAAGGACAGCCCCUUGUGCUGGUUAAUUGCGUUGUGACAAGCUUGUAUUUUGAUGACGUUAUCAAGGGUAGCACAGUUGCUGUUCUGCAGUGACAAGAUGAGAUAAAACUCAAGUGACUUGAGAGAUCCCCUGAGCUCCAAGCUGCAAAGGGUUGAGGUUAAGCUUGAGGUUUGCCUGCUCAGCUUCUUUUUCCCUUUUUUUUUUUUUUAUUGGGUCUUAAACCUUUCCCACACUAAAUAAACACCCUUUUAUAGGCUUUUUUUCCUCACAAAUAGCAAGUUUUGUAACUUUAUAUGAAAAAGUCUAGUUGCUGGUUCAAACUAAAUGCUCCUUCAUUGCUACCAGCCCCUCUACCCCUGAGGACCACGGUUCAUACUGGUGGUUGCCUAGCCCUGCUGGGC